UAAAACCCAAAGGACUUGGCGGUGCCCAGACCCUCCUAGAGGAGCCUGUUCUAGAACCGAUAAUCCCCGUUAAACCUCACCACUUCUUGUCAUUCCGCCUAUAUACCGCCGUCGUCAGCUUACCCUGUGAAGACUAAUAGUAAGCAAAAAUGGCACACCCAAAACGUUAGGUCGAGGUGUAGC
rnacentral:rRNA from 1 species